ACCAUGUUGCUCAGGGCUUGAUCCUUCAAGGUCCUGAACACCUUAAGGAUGGACACGGCACGACUCGCCUGGGCAAUUUCUGGCACACCUUGCUUACAAAUCAAUUGACACUUCAGCAAUUGGCUCAGCAGGGAGUUCUCUUUGCCUGCGUUGUGACUUCCUUAGCAUCUUCUGUGUGUGGAAGGAAGAUACGGGAGACUUAGAGCGGGUGGACCCUCCCAGAUGUCCUGAGGACAAGUGCUGCACUGUGUUCUACAGACAGCAGACCUGAAAAGCCCGAGCAACUUCUUAAUUCUGCCAAAGUGGGAGGUGCAUGUGCCUCCUGCACCCUGCCAAACCCCAUCAGCGUCUUUCCCUAGCUGUUACCUCAUCUGGCCAAGCACUCUGGAGCAGUUUGUCUGUUCUUUCUCUGACACUUUUAUCUGAUUGGAUUUUGCUCCUGGCACAGCUGUGGGGCUGCUGGGUGACCUGGGGUGUGUGCUCAGAAAACCCCUCUUUUCUGGGAAGCCGUUCCACAGGACUGGCAGCAGCCUCAAUCCAGUAACUGAGCAGGGCCAUUAGGAGAAGAUACAUCAGGAUUUCUUCUUUUUUUCUGUCAAAAAUCCAUAUUCCUACAGGGGUGAUUCACAGCUUCGUGGACACGAAGGAACCCUUGGAUCACAGAACUCAAUGUCCUGGAUAAGGCCAUAAGAUUCCUCUUCUUCCUUUUCGCUGCUUCAGGCAGUCACCAACGUCUCUGCUGAACUGAAGGGGAUGUGAUGGUGGAUGUGAAAUUUGGGAGCUCCUGACAGCCUCCUGGCAACAGGGUAAGAUGGUCUGAGGUGGCCAUGAAAACAAUGCCACUGGUGCUUCAGAGGACGACAAGAAUGAAGGUGGUCUUUUGCAUAAUGGGUCAUCAAGAUGUGGACUUCCUUGACAGAAGAUGUUGCAGUGAUGAGUAGUUUAUGUGUCUAAAAGAAAAAUCUGGAGAAGAAAUGCUCAUGCUGUGUCAUUGAACUGAAAACUUGCUCCCUUGGCUUCAGAAACCCCAUGUCAGAAGGGACUGGUGGCAGGGACAGUGCUCUGGAGAAGUAGCAGUACAUAUUUGCCCUCUUUUUGUAUCCUUGCUGAAGGAUCUGCUGUCGGCCGGAGCUGAAGACAGGAGAUUGUAUAACUGAACAUUUCGCCCAAAUAUCCAGAAGUGCAUAAUCCCAUAAGGCCACCAUUGUAGAAUCUGGGACUUACAGAAGAUGACUAUGAAGAAAACAGACCUCAGAGGAUCUGAGCAGAGUCUUGAGCCCAGCUAACCCACAGUCAUGUGCAGGAGGAGCGUGGGAACUGCUGGUGCAGCCUUGCAAAUGCAGAACCAGGGAGGUCGGGGCACAUGUGAGCUGCCAAGGCUGGAGCAGAGCUUCUCCCCCUGGGCUGCCGUGCUGUGGGGAGGGGGAGCUGGAGAAGCUCAGCAGCAUGACCCAGAUGGCUUCCAUAUGUGGGGUGGCGGUGAGUCAUAGCUUGUGCUCAAAAGAGGCUGGAGAGUGGUGAUGGAGGAGCACAUGAGGCUUUGCUGAGGACACGAGGAGCUCAGCGUGGAGGUGCCAGUGACAUGACAGAGUCCUCCUGUGUGGAAAACGUUGCUUUAUCUCUAUGACCCCCGCCACAAAUACGUAUCUAGUGCGAAAGUAAAUCCUGAUAUUAAAAGGGCCUAGGCUGUGUAAAAUACAAGCCUCUGGCUGAUUUCCCAAGGGAUCACAAGGCCCAGCUCCCACCGCCUUGGAAAUAAGCAUGAAGCUGCUGCAGAUGUCCCUCUUGCAAAUCACAGAAUCAUAGAAUCACAGAAUCAUUCAGGUCGGAAAAGACCUCCGAUAUUACCCAGCCCAACCCCAACCCAUCCCACCAUGCCCACUGACCACGUCCCUCAGUGCCACAUCUCCAAGGUUCUGGAACACCUCCAGGGAUGGUGACUCUACACUUCCCUAGGCAGCUGUGCCAGUGGUUGACCACUCUUUGGAGAAGAAAUUGUUCCUAAUAUCCAACCUGACCCUCCCCUGGCACAACUUGAGGCCAUCGCCUCUCAUCCCAUCAGCACAAAAUCAUUACAAAUCUAAGGAUGAACAGUAGGGUGUGCAAACACCAUGAUGGCUCAUCUUCCAGCUCUGUUAUUCAUCUCACCCAAACACGCACUUCUAGAUCCAACUCUGCUUACUGGUUUCUGCCUUCCAGUCCUCUAGGUAUGCCUUCGAUGGUUACGAAAGAAAAGACUUUGUAUCCUACCUUUGCCCCCUUUAACAAACAGUGCUUAGCCUUUGGGAUAUGAGGAUAUCGUGCGCUCAGAGAUAAAGCAAUUCCAGGAAAGAAGGUGUUUUCUUAAUGGCAACCCUAAAGUAACUUGCUCCGGGAUAUAGACACAUCUGGUGUUAAUUCUUCCAGUGACUUGUAGUGAGAGCUGAGUGACUCUUUUUUUCAGAGGUUAUAGGACUGAAAUGAUACAGAAAUACAGGGAAUUGUUUCCUCUGGGGGUAAAACAGUGCUGAGGCCUUUUUUAAAAUAAUAAUAAUAAUAAUAAUAAUGAAGCAUUUGGAAUUCUGGAUUUCAAAACGGUUCCUUGUCUCAGCAUGGAAUUCAAACAAUUCUUUGCAAGGAUUAAAUAAGCUGAAAACAAAACAAAGCACCUUGGAGUGAAACAAAACAUUCAGAGUUGCUCUGAAAUAAAAAUGCAGUAUUAUUUGUUCUGCAAAAUAAAAAUAGAAACAAAUCUCUCCUUGGGGUUGGUGUUUAGCUGAUCCACUUUUCCAGCAAUUCAGCUCUACAGCUCUGCUCACUGUUUUUGGAAUUUUAAGAAUGAAGGUAACUUCUCCUUCUGCUGGCACAGACAGGAUGGAGCAGCAGUGGGGGUGUACGCAUUUCUGAACAGAGCUCUGUUACCAUGCUCAGAGCAUCCCUCCAAGCACCUGCUGAUGGGGUGAAUACUGGUGGGGACAUUUUUCCAGGCCAAAUAUCUGUGGAUAAAUGAAGAUUCACUCUCUAGGCAGCAGGGUACAUUUCACUCAAAUCCCUGUGUUUCAUUUUUCCUGAGAAGCUGCGAGAGACACUGUGGGUUCAAAGGCUGCACUGCUGUCUAUUGAGACCUUCCCAGAAAGCACAGACCAUGCUCCCUUUACCUUUUGCUUUACCAAAAGGUUGUGUGUGUAGAAUUUGGACUGAGACGGAAAUAUUAUUAUUUUUUUUUAUCUUCCUCUUCUCUUGAAUUGGAAUAAACAUCUUUCUGUGAAAGCCUCGUCCCCUAAUUUUCCCAGCUCUCCCUGACAGGAUGAUCUCUUAGUGCCUUUCUGAACAGCCAGGCCCAAGAAUAAGAUGCAUUUUGUGUCCACAGAGAUACGGUUUUGUUGGCCAAGUUUGAAAUGCUAUUCCCUAUUCACAGAUAGGGAAGGAAAUGUUAUGGAAAGCAAAACUGAAUUAAGUCCUGCCCAGGUUCUGAUGCUUGGUGUUUUCUACUGGUCAGGCACUUCUGAACACCUGAAAAUGGCCCUCAAAAUCUUUAGGUACUGGACUUGGGCUGUUGAUAUUUGGGUCCAAGGCAUUUCUCUGAGAUGAUAACAGCAGGAGGGUUGGUAGAGCUUGUGCUUAGAUCUCCCAGCUCUUCUUCCACCAGCUGAGCAAUUGCCCCUCUAUAAUGAUUCUAAACAUUGAAUAGAAGGGAUACCACUGAAGACCUCAUCAUGAAUGCAUUUCCCAUUGUGCAGUACAUGUGUAGUAGAGAUGAUGCAGAAAAGGGAAUACAGGAGGCCUCCAACCUGCUUGAACACCUGUUUCUGAAUCACAGAAUCACAGAAUCAUAGGGGCUGGAAGCGACCUCUGCAGAUCCCCCAGUUCAACCCCUCCUAAAACAGGUUCCCUACAGCAGGUUGCACUGGAAAGCACCCAGGUGGGUUUAAAUAAGAAAAGGAGACUCCCUCACCUCUCUGGGAACUUUGUGCCAGGGCUCUACCACCCUCAAAGCACUGUUCUUCCUUGCAUUCAGAUGGACCUCUCAGUGCUGCAUUCUGUGCACAGUGCCCCCUGUCACUGGGCACUACUGAACAGAGCCCAGCCCCCUCUGCCUGCACCCUGCCCUGCAGAUACCAGCCAGCACUGCCCAUAUUCCCUCAACCUUCUCUCCUCCAGAUGCACACCCCAGGGUUCCAUUGCUCUUCUUGGCCACAGGGCACUUUGCUGGCUCAUGGUCAACCACUGGUCAACCAUUGGUCAGUUGCUGGUCAAGUGCUGAUCAACAAAAGUGACAUCAUUUUGUCACCUUCUUGGCCACUAGGACACACUGCUGGCUCAUGGUCAUCCUGUUGGCCACCAGGACCCUCAGGUCCUUCUCUGUACAGCUUCUUUCCAGCAGCUCAGUCCCAAUAUGCACUGAUGCUGCAGUUGUUCCUUCCCAGGCGCAGGACCCUAUACUUGCCUUUGUUGAACCCCAUCAGGUUCCUCUUUGCCCAACUCUCAGCCUGCCCAGCUUUUGCUGGAUGGCAGCACAGUCUUCUGGGGGUGUCAGCCCCUCCUGCCAGUUUUGUGCCAUCAGCAAACUUGUUGAGGGUGCACUCCAUGCAUUCACCCAGAUCACUGAUGAAGACAUUAAACAAGAAUGAAUGAAAGCUUACCCACUGCUUCACUAGGAUGGCUAAGAGCAAUGAAGCCUUUUCCAGUCCCAGGAAAGAGGAUGCCCUAGGAAUGCAAAGUAUUCUUCAAGUUAAAAUUGUAGUUUCUCAUCCAUGCGUAAUUUAAGAUUCAGAGCCUUUGGAGAGAUUGAACUAGUAUGUAUGUUCUGGCCUGAAAAACUUCUGUGCCUGUUGAUAUGCUUUGAGCAAUUCACGAGCAUCUGGGAAAAUCCUCUCAGCUCUAGUGGAACAAGAACAACUAUAGGGUUGGUUUGAACUCGCUGGCAAGAAACAAGUCGAGAAGUGAAGAGCUCAAGGCUCUCUGCUGAAUACAGAGCGACUUCUAAGAAGGAGCUGGAAGCAAUUCAGACCUUCGGCAGAGCUCCGGAGGCCUAGGAGCCCGGCUUGUAGCCCAGUGCUCAUAUCCAGUUCAUGUUCACGGCAGCUGUAAUGGAAAACAGCAGCCACUGAUAAGUAACAAUGGCCACGCUAACGCUGAGCUCAAACAAUAGGAAGGUUCACACAAGCUACUGCUCUGGCAAGUCCGGAAUCCCAGGGGCACCGACUACACGGCAGUUUCGCUGGCAGCAGAAGCAGAACAUCUGAAAUGCUCAUUAAGAGCUGGUGAAUGCACUAUGGCGAGACGCUUUGGGAUUGACGGGGAAUUGAACAGCCUACGGGACCCUAUCCCAUGGUCUGGGAGGAAAACACAGGAAUGGCUCUUGCAGCCUUUGACAAGGACAGGGAACGGAGUAAGAAGCCAAAAUCAGUGGCAACAUCCACCACGGACUUUAGGAUCAUUAUGAUUCUCUCAGGGAUAUCUCUGGUUGUAGAUACUGGGCUGUGGUCUCACUAAGCUGCAGAUGUGGCAGGUCUACAGAAGAAUCUCGUGGGCCAUAAGGUCAAAACUCACAGAUUUUCAAAUUCCAGCCCAGUCAAAAUGACCAAGCGCCUCCUACACUAACUCCAUGCCUUAGGAUGGAGCAGAUCUGCCCCAUGGUCCUAUAGGGCUAAACCAUUUAUCUCAAGCUUGAUGUGCAGCAAAGGGCUUGACUGCCAACUCCAUGUAAAUGCAGACUCAUAUGGUUCAACUACAGGGAUGGAGAUGCAUCUGUAAGACUCCGACCAAGCCUGUGUCCAUCCUUAGUAUUUUUUAAUUUAUUAUCGUGAACAAAACAAAUUUGGGCUGAUUUUUUUAAUAUAUAUUCCAAUUCUUUGAACUCAGAGGCUUUCAUUACCUGGUUUGGAAAUGAAGCCAGCAGUGGUGUUGAGCAGCUCCUGGGAGGAAAACUGUCACUUGCCUACAGGCAAACUUCAUUUCCAUGCAGAGAGUGGCCAGAAGACCAAUUUUAUAUUGAAGUCUUACUCCAUACCGAUGGAUUGGCUUUGCCUGAGAGUGAAUCUCCAGCCUGGGGACUUUAAUUUUCUGGAAGGUGUUUCUGACACAGCUGGAUGCAAGAAACAUUUCAAGAGGAAGCCUGAUUUCAUGAACUUUACGGUGAAGAUUAGCAGAGGAUUUGGAUGGCAUUCCUGGCCUAAUCCUAGAAGUGCUUAUGCGGGCUUUGUGCUGGCUGUUUGCACUGGAUUUGGAAAAUUGGAUUGGACUCAGAAGAACGACAUGUUAUUUCAGCUCUGGCAUGCUGAAAGGAAUGUAGAGAAGCCCAGCUCUCCGUGCCUCAGUUUCCCCUGCGCAAAACAGCCUCAUUAGGACAGUCUUCUGUGCUUUCCAGGUUUAACGAACUAAUAAAUCAAAAUCUAGAGAAAACCUAUGCUGUUAAUUAAUGGCUCAGCAAUAUCACUCAUGCCAUGGUCCUUAAAUUAAGUGUAGCACAGAGCCCCUUGCUACACCACCCAGCCAGCAGCAGUCUGUGCUUGCUCCUUGGCUGCACAGGAGUUUCCCAGCACGUGAUGCAUGUGGCUCCCUGCUCAGAUGUAUUGGAAUGAUGACGAGAGGAAGGCAUUGCAGCAACAGAAGACCUUUCUGAUCUUUUCUCAAGGGAGAAGGAGUAAAUAGAACAGCAAAGAGACUCAGUAUAUGCCUGGAAUGACUACUUCUGUCUCUAUCAAGCCUCCAGGACCCAGUGAAAGCAUAUAUAUGCACUUAAAUGUAUUUCUUAUCAGCACAACUGGCUGAAGAACUGCUGAGCUUUCCAUCCACUGGUGACUGCCAUUUAUUUCAUGCUCUGGAGAUAGCGUUGGACUCCCUGAGAAUCAAAGAAUCAUAGAAUCAUUAAGGUUGGAAAAGACCUCCAAGAUCACCAAGUCCAACUGCAGCCCAUCCCCACCAUGCCCUCUGACCAUUUAUCACUCAGUGCCACAUCUCCACGGUUAUUGAACACCUCCAGGGAUGGUGACUCCCCCACCCCCUGGGCUGCCUGUGCCAGUGCCUGACCACUCUUUUGGAGAAGUUUUUCCUACUGUCCAACCUGAGGCAAUCUCUUUAUGGCAAGACCAUGGCUCAUUAUAGAAAAGUAGAGCUGCCAAGCAACUCUGGAUGAAGUCCUGAGGGUUCUGGGAUGAGGCAGUUCGAUGCUGCUGGAGGAACCUUUCUCCAGGCAUUGCAAGUCCAGCUGCUCUCCACCUGCAGCAUGAUUCAGAGCUGGCAGCAGUGGGAUGUGCAUCGGCAUCACAGUUGUGGAUGCCCCCUCCCCGGAAGCACUCAAGGCCAGGCUGGAUGGUGCUUUGAGCAAUCUGGUCUAGAGGGAGGUGUCCCUGCCUAUAGGAAGGGGUUGGAACUAGAUGUUCUUAAAUGUCCCUUCCAACCCAGACCAUUCUCUGAUUCUAUGAUCACAGGGCUGCUGAUCUACGAGGUGGUAGCAUUUCAAUUUUGGCAUCAGUCACCUGCAGAUACCCUCACAAUGUGAAGCUUCUUCCCCACCUUCUGCUGCUGCUGAGGAUCAGAGCUUGCUCCAGAUGUCCUCCCUGUCCACCAGGAGCAGGAUGCAAAGUAGCGGAUUUGUAUGGGAUCAUGGGAUUUAAAUCUGGAACAUCAUGGAAAAAAGCCUUGGGUGAGUCACAGCCCUCCCAAGUGGAUUCCUGCGUGGCCAUUUCCCUGCAAGCAAUGGUCCUCUGCUGGACACAGCACUGAGGCUUCUAGCAUUUAGCGUGUCUUCGCAUCUUCAGCUCUCUGUCUUCCCAUGCUCCACUUGACCCUCAAGGGAACUGAACAUGGAAAACAGUAGGAUGGGACUCUCCAUGGCCAUCAGGGCCCUUGCUCUUCCCCAAGGGUGGGAUCAGCUCUGCUCAAGACAGCCCUGAGCACGAAGCAUCUGGCCCUAAAUGACUUGCUGACAGGGGAAAUCCAGGCUGGGCUGGAGAUCUGAGGCAAGACCCGUGCAUUGUUCGAGCCUGGCAGUCAAACAACACACUGUUUUUUUUUUUUUUGCUGGCAUCCUUCACAGGGUGAUUUUUUUCCCCCAAGUGAGUUUAUGGCUCAGCCAGAGGCGGUAGUACCGUGCCAGCACUUUAACAAGGCUUUCCUAUAAAUAUUUCUCUUUUAGCUUAUGAUAAAGGCAGUGUCUACUCAGAUGGAGGGGAAGGGAAAGGCUGGGGAAAUCUAUUUGUUUUCUCAUUUAAGCAAAACCACACAUCCUCGUAAUUAUAACCAGGGAGGGAAGCAGCAUCCUCUGGCAAUCAUGUUCCUCUUAACGUGCCUUUUUGUUGGAAUUAUUUAUGUCCUGUUAGUGGGAAAUAUACGGAGUAUGGUGAUAGUAGAGAACAGCCUUCAACUUCUGUAAUGUGAAAUGGUUCCCAUUUGUGGCUAAAAGAAAAGCCCUAGAGAAACAAAUAGAAAACAAUUGGUCUUUUAGUAUGUCUGAACAUCUGUAGGAUUACAUUAGAACUGCUGAUUGGAGGAAAAAAAAUCUUUUUUUUUUUUCCUUUAAAUACUGUACUUGUUUUUAAAAAUCCAUAUUUGACAUCCUAUAUUCUUAAUUUUUCUUUCUGAAAACUUGCUAGUUGCCCAGGUGGUAAUGGGAAAGAUACCAAAGGUGUGUUGAUGGUGGCUAUUGCCAGUGAAGCAGUCAGAGAGAAAUACCAACCGAAAAACAGAAAUAUUGACUGAUGUCACACUGGAUCUGAGCCUACAGUCCCAUGAGUGGUUACAUGAGCAUCUAUCUUGCAGUAUUUGGAAUGUUCUACCUUCCAGCUCCUCCAGGAGACAGGAAAAGCACAUUUCUCUGCUGGAGGAAAACUCCAGAAUCCUUUUGCAGUUCUUAGGAAUCAGUGAAAGGGAGUCAUGGGGAGAGCUGCAUGUCUUAUGAAUUUAUUACCAAUGGAUCCAUGCCCCAAAUUUCCAGAAGCCUGUGUGCUCCUAUAUGAGUUUCAUUUAGUUAUUUACUUAUUUAUUCAUUUUUAGUAGAAGAAAAGCUGGCUUUAGGCAAUGCCUAUGCAGCUUUGAAUGUGCCGUCUCUAGAGCAUCCACGACCACAGGACAGACAGCCUGCCCAUCUCUGAUGUAUUCAACUGUUGGACAGUCCCAGUGGACAUGAUGGGCCGAAGGUCACUCUGUUAGUGCUCUCCACCUUGAGUUAAACAUCCUUAUCUUCCGAGCCCUACAGAUGUGGGUUGGCUCAAUGAUUAUGACAUGAGGAAGCAGACAUACAGAUUGAACACAGUGGGAAAACGUUCCAAUCCCUAGCUCUCAUGGGCUGCCCAGAGAUAACGUCCCCAUAUCCCAGGGCUUGCUGGUAACCACAUAUCGGUGUGACAGAGCUGUUCUCAAGGGGCUGAGAGAAGAUGACUACAUCUGUUAUUCUUACUGCAUCCAGGCCACACUGCAGAGCCCGGUGUGGAGAGCUGGCUCUUGGAAACCAUCUCUGUUCACGAUUAAAAGAUAUUUUCUUUAGAAAAGACUUGAAUGGCCAGCGUGGAUUAAUUUUUCCUUCUCU
ensembl:lncRNA